CCUACGGGAGGCAGCAGUGGGGAAUUUUGGACAAUGGGCGAAAGCCUGAUCCAGCCAUUCCGCGUGCAGGAUGAAGGCCCUCGGGUUGUAAACUGCUUUUGUACAGAACGAAAAGGUUUCUAUUAAUACCAGGAGCUCAUGACGGUACUGUAAGAAUAAGCACCGGCUAACUACGUGCCAGCAGCCGCGGUAAUACGUAGGGUGCAAGCGUUAAUCGGAAUUACUGGGCGUAAAGCGUGCGCAGGCGGUUAUAUAAGUCAGAUGUGAAAUCCCCGGGCUCAACCUGGGAACUGCAUUUGAGACUGUAUAGCUAGAGUACGGUAGAGGGGGAUGGAAUUCCGCGUGUAGCAGUGAAAUGCGUAGAUAUGCGGAGGAACACCGAUGGCGAAGGCAAUCCCCUGGACCUGUACUGACGCUCAUGCACGAAAGCGUGGGGAGCAAACAGGAUUAGAUACCCUGGUAGUCCACGCCCUAAACGAUGUCAACUGGUUGUUGGGUCUUAACUGACUCAGUAACGAAGCUAACGCGUGAAGUUGACCGCCUGGGGAGUACGGCCGCAAGGUUGAAACUCAAAUGAAUUGACGG
rnacentral:rRNA from 1 species